rnacentral:rRNA from 1 species
CAGCAGCCGCGGGAAUACGGAGGGAGCUAGCGUUGUUCGGAAUUACUGGGCGUAAAGCGCGCGUAGGCGGUUACUCAAGUCAGAGGUGGAAGCCCGGGGCUCAACCCCGGAACUGCCUUUGAAACUAGGUGACUAGAAUCUUGGAGAGGUCAGUGGAAUUCCGAGUGUAGAGGUGAAAUUCGUAGAUAUUCGGAGGAACACCAGUGGCGAAGGCGGCUCACUGGUCCAUUACUGACGCUGAGGCGCGAAAGCUAGGGGAGCAAACAGGAUUAGAUACCCCAGUAGUCCCUGUCUCUUAUAC